rnacentral:rRNA from 1 species
GUCUGGUGCCAGCAUCCGCGGUAAGACCAGCUCCAAUAGCGUAUAUUAAAGUUGUUGCGGUUAAAAAGCUCGUAGUCGAAUUUGUGUCCCGCGCCGCUGGUUCAUCGCUCGCGGUGUUCAACUGGCGUGUCUCGUGGGACGUCCUGUCGGUGGGAUUACGUAUCGUUUCGGCGGUGCGUGUCCCUACUCGUCUCCGUCUUGUGCGGUUGCGAAUCCCAUCGCGGUGCUCUUUAUUGAGUGUCGAGGUGGGCCGGCACAUUUACUUUGAACAAAUUAGAGUGCUUAAAGCAGGCCAGUUUUGCCUGAAUAUUCGUGCAUGGAAUAAUGGAAUAGGACCUCGGUUCUAGGUUGUUGGUUUUCGGAACCACGAGGUAAUGAUUAAUAGGGACGGAUGUGGGCAUUCGUAUUGCGACGUUAGAGGUGAAAUUCUUGGAUCGUCGCAAGACGGACAGAAGCGAAAGCAUUUGCCAAAAACGCUUUCAUUGAUUAAGAACGAAAGUUAGAGGUGCGAAGGCGAUCAGAUACCGCCCUAGUUCUAACCAUAAACGAUGCCAGCUAGCGAUCCGCCGACGUUCCUCCGAUGACUCGGCGGGCAGCUUACGGGAAACCAAAGCUUUUGGGUUCCGGGGGAAGUAUGGUUGCAAAGCUGAAACUUAAAGGAAUUGACGGAAGGGCACCACCAGGAGUGGA